CAGCCGUAAACAAUGUGCGUUAGGUGUGUCGGUAACCACGCGUUACUGAUGCGCCGAAGAGAAAUCGUGAAACGCACCACCUGGGAAGUACGGUCGCAAGGCUGAAACUUAAAGGAAUUGGCGGGGGAGCACCACAACAGGUAGAGCCUGCGGUUUAAUUGGAUUCAACGCCGGACAUCUCACCGGAUAAGACAGCUGAAUGAUUGUCAAUCUGAAGGUUUUACAUGACUAGCUGAGAGGAGGUGCAUGGCGUCAGUGACU
rnacentral:rRNA from 1 species